UACGGGGGGGAGCAAGCGUUGUUCGGAUUUACUGGGCGUAAAGGGCGCGUAGGCGGCGUAACAAGUCACUUGUGAAAUCUCCGGGCUUAACUCGGAGCGGUCAAGUGAUACUGUUGUGCUAGAGUGCGGAAGGGGCUACUGGAAUUCUCGGUGUAGCGGUGAAAUGCGUAGAUAUCGAGAGGAACACCUGCGGCGAAGGCGGGUAGCUGGGCCGACACUGACGCUGAUGCGCGAAAGCCAGGGGAGCAAACGGG
rnacentral:rRNA from 1 species